rnacentral:lncRNA from 1 species
UUGUCUGUGUGAGUUAGAGGUCCAUAUGAGAUAAUGGUAGUACCAGUUUUGUAUUUCUACAGUAUUUUGUAUUUUAUUGUUUCACUGAUAUUCACAGUCUUGUCAGAUAGGCAGAGUGAACAGUGAUUGUUCUGGCAUUUUUCAGACACAAGAGUUCUACAAGCUAAAUGUUCACACCAUGGGAAGUGUUAUUCAUGUUACAGAUAAGACCCUUAUUGAUGAUUUUGUAGAAGGCAAAUAACCUAGAAAUGCCAUAUGAAAUAUUUAAGUUUGAAGAUGAUAGGGAUAUUUAAUAUCGGUACUUCAGCAUUUUAUAUGCUAUCUCAACCUUUGUGUCUCACAAAUAAGUCUGUACGUUUGACAAAUAAGUUACAGAGAUGUCUUCUCAUGUUAAUUAAGUUACCUAUACCAGUCAGGAAUCUUAGUGACUUCUAUAAAAAUCUCUGUGUUCUAUUUAUGGAGAUGAUAAUUUCCUGUUGCCUAGUUUAAUGACUCUU